rnacentral:rRNA from 1 species
AGAGCUAAUACAUGCUAAAAACCCCGACUUCGGAAGGGGUGUAUUUAUUAGAUAAAAAACCAAUGCCCUCUGGGCUCCUUGGUGAUUCAUAAUAACUUAACGAAUCGCAUGGCCUUGCGCCGGCGAUGGUUCAUUCAAAUUUCUGCCCUAUCAACUUUCGAUUGUAGGAUAGAGGCCUACAAUGGUCUUAACGGGUAACGGGGAAUUAGGGUUCUAUUCCGGAGAGGGAGCCUGAGAAACGGCUACCACAUCCAAGGAAGGCAGCAGGCGCGCAAAUUACCCAAUGCUGAUCCAGCGAGGUAGUGACAAUAAAUACUGAUACGGGGCUCUUUCGGGUCUCGUAAUUGGAAUGAGUACAAUCUAAAUCCCUUAACGAGGAACAAUUGGAGGGCAAGUCUGGUGCCAGCAGCCGCGGUAAUUCCAGCUCCAAUAGCGUAUAUUAAAGUUGUUGCCGUUAAAAAGCUCGUAGUUGAACCUUGGACCUGGCUGAUCUGUCCUCCUAAUCGAGCGCACGGAUUCGGUCGGGUCUUUCCUUCUGGGGAGCCCCAUGCCCUUCACUGGGUGUGGUGGGGAACCAGGACUUUUACCUUGAAAAAAUUAGAG